rnacentral:rRNA from 1 species
UUCCGGUUGAUCCCGCCGGACCUGACUGCUAUCGGAUUGAUACUAAGCCAUGCGAGUCAUUGUAGCAAUACAAGGCAGACGGCUCAGUAACGCGUAGUCAACCUAACCUAUGGACGGGAAUAACCUCGGGAAACUGAGAAUAAUGCCCGAUAGAACAUUAUGCCUGGAAUGGUUUAUGUUCCAAAUGAUUUGUCGCCGUAGGAUGGGACUGCGGCCUAUCAGUUUGUUGGUGAGGUAAUGGCCCACCAAGACUAUUACAGGUACGGGCUCUGAGAGGAGUAGCCCGGAGAUGGGUACUGAGACACGGACCCAGGCCCUAUGGGGCGCAGCAGGCGAGAAAACUUUGCAAUGUGCGAAAGCACGACAAGGUUAAUCCGAGUGGUUUCUGCUAAAGGAACCUUUUGUCGGUUCUAGAAACACCGAUGAAUAAGGGGUGGGCAAGUUCUGGUGUCAGCCGCCGCGGUAAAACCAGCACCUCAAGUGGUCAGGAUGAUUAUUGGGCCUAAAGCAUCCGUAGCCUGCUUUGUUAGUUUUCGGUUAAAUCUGUACGCUCAACGUACAGGCUGCCGGGAAUACUGCAAAGCUAGGGAGUGGGAGAGGUAGACGGUACUCGGUAGGAAGGGGUAAAAUCCUUUGAUCUAUUGAUGACCACCUGUGGCGAAGGCGGUCUACCAGAACACGUCCGACGGUGAGGGAUGAAAGCUGGGGGAGCAAACCGGAUUAGAUACCCGGGUAGUCCCAGCCGUAAACCAUGCAAACUCAGUGAUGCAUUGGCUUGUGGCCAAUGCAGUGCUGCAGGGAAGCCGUUAAGUUUGCCGCCUGGGAAGUACGUACGCAAGUAUGAAACUUAAAGGAAUUGGCGGGGGAGCACCACAAGGGGUGAAGCCUGCGGUUCAAUUGGAGUCAACGCCGGA